AGAAUAUAUCGCCCACAGCUUGAGAACUACCUUUGCAAAGGUGUGCCAUAUUUUUGUCACAAGCCAAUCAGAGCAGACUGGGCUUUUUCUGGAGGAAGUCUUAAAGACACAGGCACUAAAACCGAACAUUUCAGACAGAGAGUGAAUAUAGGUAUAUUCAGACAGACCGUAUGAGAACAAUAAUGUGUUUUUUGAACAUUAAAGCAUGUAAACAUGUUCUAGUAGAAACUCAAAAUACAAGUAUGAACCUGAAAAUGAGCAUUUUUCUGGAAGGUUUUUCUGGUUUUCUAUUUUUUUUUUGAACGACUGAUCAAUUUAGUGUCCGGUAUUUGCAGCACUACACACAAUACAACCAACUGUAAUAUGUGUAUCAUAAAAGAUGCAAUAUUCCAGUCAGCAUCCGUACAUUUGUCUGAAUGGCUCCAGUGUGAUGUGUCUGUCAUCCUAUCCCAGUGUAAUUCAGCUCUGUGUGUGUUAUAUAAUAUCACAGCACAUACCACGUCCCUCUGAAGGUCUUUCCAGGUUAGAAAAUGUAGGUUGAAUGUUAGUGGGAGGACUGCUCUUAUCAGCAGUGUGUGCGCCAGGUGUCUCUGUGCUGUCAGGCUCAUAAAGAGAAGGUCAAAGGUUUAUAAUGUACAACGCCCACCUCCAUCCAGGCAGGUGUGGUGAUGUCAUCCAUCCAUCUCCUCCUGUUUUCCUCACACAGUUUAUCAGAACUGACUCAGACACAAAGUCCAAUAAUCAUGAAUGUUGGUUUUGCUUGAGAAAAUCAUCUCAAAGUCAUCUGACUCCACAAAUGUCUGCAUGUAGGGGUAACCCAUCAAACCAAUCACAGCUCUUUUGUCAAAUAUGAAUUUCAUUCAUAGAUACGACGUCUGGGACAAAUCAGGCAUGCAAACUCCAGUUCUGAAAUGAAUAGAAAAGUAAAAUGCUCCUUUAUUAAUUAGAUAGAAAGGGGAUAAAUUAAGUCUAAGAGUAAUUUAAUCUUACCCUUGUGCAUCACUAGGGACAUUUUUGGCUUUUUAAUUUUUCAAUCAUUUUGGCACAUGCUGAUGGCAAAAACUUUGGCAAGGGUGUGAGGUUAUUUUUUCUCCGAAUUUUGGAAGUUCAACCUCAGCUCCUAUAAUAAGACUAUAAUACAGACACUCAGACCCUUAAGGACAAAAAUGUCCCUAUUGAAACCAAUUAAAACCACAAUGUGUGAUCCCACAGCCAUUACAGCAUAAAAUCUUGAAUAGGGCUGUCAAAGUUUACGCAAUAAUAACAUGUU